AGCUAUUUGCAUAACAAAGGCGGGUUCUAUGCACCCACACAGCUAAGGUCAAGCAAAUGAUAUCAUUUCCUGGCUCGGUUCCUCUCUAUUUUAGCAUUCUGCGGUAAGACCAACAGAGCUUUAUUCAAAACCACGGUAUUUUAUCAACAGGAGCAUUUCGUUCUCAAAACAAGCUGCCGUUCGUACUGCUUAAACUUUAAUCAGUUUGAAAACAUGUCGAUGAGGGUCCUGUUGAUGCUUGUUUUAUUCAUGGUUGGGACAAGUGUCGCCGACUUUCUACCGACAAUACUAUGGAACCCAGAAAACCCAAUAUUCGAGAACCUUAGAAAUAAACCAAGAACAGUGCUUAUGAAGGACAAGUUAACAUUCCUUUGCCCAAAUCUUGGUGAUUAUGAGAUACAAACAAAUACACAACACUCCAAGGAUCAUCAGUAUGCAAGCAUUUACAUGGUGGAUGAAGCAGGGUAUAAUAACUGUAAUGCUACUGGGGCCAAAAAGAUACUGACUUGUAGCGACCCCAUGGCUCUCAAAUUCAAAACUGUGCUGAUACAAGAAAUUGCACCCACAAACAACAUACCAGAGUUUACAAAAGGAAAAACUUAUUACUUCAUUGAUACAUCUAGUGGAACUUCAAACACUAUAGACAGCCUAAAUGGGGGGCGAUGCGCCCAGAACAAGUUGAAGUUGAAGAUCUAUGUCUGUCUGAGUGAAUCAGAUCCAAACUGUCCUGCCACAAACAGAGUUUUGAAUGGAGGUUGGUCGGAUUGGGGAGAAUGUCAGAGCUCUGGAGUGAAGCAGCGUCAAUGCAAUAGUCCAUCUCCUGCCAAUGGGGGGACACCAUGCAUUGGGGAUACAACACGUCCUUGUAGCUUGCUUUUUACUACCACACAGCACCCUUCUAAAGAAAACAGCACAUCUAUUCCCAAGAAAGAGAAGCGGUCAUCCUCUCCAAGUCAACUAAAUCAGCUUUCUGUUGGUACUCUGGCUGGAAUAUUUACAGCAAUAUUUAUUACUGGACUUGUUGUAGGAGGUGUUAUAAGUGCAUUUGCUGUCCAUAGAUGGAAUAAAAUCAAUAGACGAAAAGAUGAUCCUCGAAUUCCAGAUCCUAUUUAGCCUUGUGAAUGUGCCUCUAGUCUAUCCUUCAAGUCCUUCUUGUGACACCUUACUCUCUUUUGCUUCCAGCUAAAAAUGCCUACAACAGGAACAGUGUAUUAUCAACUGCCACUUUACGACCGAUGUCAACAGGAUCUUUGCUGUACUGAUAGUCAUGUCGAUGAGGAGGGCAUGAACAUUAUCACCUGUAGAGAUUUUCUAUAAGAUGCACAAGAAAAUUUCUGGUCACAGCACAAGAAUAGAGGUUGUGUGGACAUUAUCAUCUAUAGAGAUAUUCUACAGUAUAGGGUCUAGCCAAUGGCAAAAGAAUAGAGGUUGUGUGGCCAUUAUCACCUAUUGAGAUAUUCUAAAGGAUACAAAAUACAAUAUAUAUAUAUACGGCACAUGCUCAACAAAAAAUAAUGGCUGAUACCUACAGUAAAGUAGACCAUCCUUGAGGCUCUUAAAAAGCUGCAAGUUGUGAUAAAGAUAUACAGUACAGUAGAGGAUUUGUGAUAAUGUCAUAGCCAGGAUUUUGAGCAGGGGAGGUGGGGGCUCAUUUACCCAUAAAGCAGACCAUUUUCUCUUAGUUACAUAGCUCAUCCUACCUGGACAAACUAUGGGGGUUUCUUUCAAAUCCCCUUGCUACAGGACUGUGAUACCAUUUGGAACAACUAAGACUGAUAUUUAUUGUGGCAUACAAUUUUUUUAACAUAACAUUGUUUAAAUCAUGCUAAAAGUUUUAUUGCUUGCACAUUAAAUUUCAUCCUUUUUAUAACCAUGUUUUUUUAAAAGAUUUAAUAGAAAAUACAAAAAUUUAAAGCAAAAUAGUAUUGUAUUAGUGUGUAAUACAUCACCAACCCUAAGUUCCCAAUAACAUUUGCUUCUUCAAGUUUAUAUUUAGAAGCUGGUGAUUUUUUCGUUUGAAAAAUUCUAAAAUAUUUUAGAUCCAAGCUGGCAGUAUGGAUGAUUCAAAAUAGUUAUUUCAAUUGCACUUUGUGUAUAUAAUUUUGUACAGAAUAUCAUAAAUUACCAUUUUAGUACAAAUAAACUAUUUUUGUGGUUGUUA